UUUAUGUAGUUUAUAAAAACAUUACAUUUUCAUUGUAAAAUUAAAAUUUUAUUUUCUUAA
rnacentral:tRNA from 2 species